rnacentral:lncRNA from 1 species
AUUUAUUCAAAUGAAAAUCCAUAUAUAGAAAUAUCCAAAAUUGAUUUAUUUUUUUCUUUAUUCAGAGUGCAUAUUUAUAGCAUUAUAAGCUGAAAAAAACCAAACAAUAUUAGUAGACUUUACUGUCUUAUUAUCAUUUGUGUAAACAAUGUAUGUUAAGAAUUAUCAUAUUAAAAAUGCAUAGGCAGUAUAGAUUAUGUUGGGUAUAAAAAACAGUGUUCAAAAUUAUAGCAUUCUCAAAUUCUUGAAUUUGAUAUUCCACAAUCAAAAUAUUUUUUGUCAGCAUUCAAGAGGCUAAAUAGUAGAUUUUUGCAGUCCUGUUAGAUUUUUCGUAAGGUUUUCUAGUGCUAUGUUUUCUAUGACCAUAAAAGAACUACAGUAGGAAUUCAGUUUGAGUGCUACCUUAUAUUUCGACAGUAGAACCUUUAAAUAGAAAAUUAAAAUUUUUAGUCGUGUUUGAAUUGAUAGUUGGUUUAAGUGAGCUGAAGUUAUUAAUGUGUAUGUAUAUGUGAAAGAGAUGAUUUGUAUGAAUGAUUUUAGAUAUUGCAUAUGAAAGUGUGAACUUAAUUAUUGAAAAAUAUUUUGGAUUGUGAUCUUUCUCAAGGGAAAUCAAUAAAUGUAGUUCUGUAAAAUCAUUUUUUUUGGAAAAGUUUGAUUACUGCACACAAUCAUGAAAAUAAAAAAGAAUAGAUAUUGCAGAACAUUAAACUAAAUUGUUAAAUACAUGUAUGAUUGUGAUAAUUUGCAAUAGUCUAGGACGAUGACAUACAUUGUAUGUUUGAAAAAGGUUAGACUUGGAUUUUGGCUUUUUUGCAUAGGUUAAACCCCCAUUUCAUUGGGUAGAAUUAUUUUAGAAAAGUAUGUCUGAAAAUAAACGUUCUAGGGUCGUUUUGGAUGCAGUUAACAAUUUUUUGAAACCUUAAUUACACUUCAUUUACAGUUUUCUAAAAUGUUUAAUGGCUGUUUGUAGAUUUUGUUUCAAGAUAUUAAAAAAAAAAAAUUUCAAUAUUAAUUUUAAAGUUGACAGUAAUAUCUACAUUAGAAAUACAUGUCUCUUGAUAUUUUUAUUGUUAGUUUAUGUCUGAAUGAGAUAGUUUUGAAUGCAGCCUGGGUAAAGGAUGUUGACCUAAGUUAGAGAAUGUAAGUCCUAUGUUUUUUUCAACCAUUUUCAUUAAUAUAUGUCAAAGAUUCUAAGUAACACAGAUUUUGAAAAUUCAGUAUCAUUUGAAAGCUUAAUGAUUAUUGUUGAAACUUACUGUGAGAAACACAUUACUGAUUUAAACAGUUACCUCUGUUGACUUAGAUUUACAUGUAUACUUUGAGAGCUAGAGAAAUUAUUUUGCAUGUAUAAGAGGGAGAGAUUAUGUUAUGUAUGAGAAAUUUGCAUGAUAAAAGUUGUAAAUAUUAGACACCCAGUGUCACUAUUGUUUUAUUGUUAUUCACAAUAAAAAAUCAUUUGAA